rnacentral:rRNA from 1 species
UACGAAGGGGGCUAGCGUUGCUCGGAAUCACUGGGCGUAAAGCGCACGUAGGCGGACUCUUAAGUCGGUGGUGAAAUCCUGGAGCUCAACUCCAGAACUGCCUUUGAUACUGAGGGGCUCGAGUCCGGGAGAGGUGAGUGGAACUGCGAGUGUAGAGGUGAAAUUCGUAGAUAUUCGCAAGAACACCAGUGGCGAAGGCGGCUCACUGGCCCGGUACUGACGCUGAGGUGCGAAAGCGUGGGGAGCAAACAGG